rnacentral:tRNA from 1 species
GCCGGGGUGCGCUGAACCCGGUAAGGCAGCAGUCCGAGAAACUGUGACCUGAAAGGUCGUCAGGGUUCAAAUCCCUGCCCCGGCG